UUUUUUGUUUUUGAGCGUUUGGUGGAUGCCUUGGCAUCGUGUGCCGAUGAAGGACGUUGUGGCUGGCGAUAGCCUCGGGGAGUUAGCGAGCGUGCGUUGAUCCGGGGGUUUCCGAAUGGGGUAACCUGACCAUAGUUGUGUGUGGUUGGCGCGCACUGAAGUUUUGUAGGUGUGUGUUGGUAGGGUGGGAAGUGAAACAUCUUAGUACCGCCUUUUGUGAGAUAGUCCGUGUGUAGUGGUGAGCGAUAGCGGGUGUUGGCUAAACCGUUUGCGUGUGAUACUCGGCAGGGGUUGCGCGGGCGGGGUUGUGGGAUGGAAUCGUCAAGCAACUGCCGUUGUUUGGAGCGUUUUUGUGUGUGUGAGGUGAACAGGUUGGGAUGCCUGGCCGUAGACCGUGAGAGUCGGGUAGCUGGUUGCGCAUGCGUGGCGUUGGGUUUUGUUCCCGAGUAGCGCGGGGCUCGUGGAAUCUCGUGUGAAUCUGCCCAGACCAUUGGGUAAGCCUGGACGGGCAUGGUGACCGAUAGUGGAUUAGUACCGUGAGGGAAUGGUGAAAAGUACCCCGGGAGGGGAGUGAAAUAGUUCCUGAAACCAAGCGUUUUUAAGCCGUCAGAGCCGCGGGAUCCUUUCGGGGGUUGGUGUGGUGGUGGCGUGCCUAUUGAAGAAUGAGCCUGCGAGUUAUGUUGCGUUGCGAGGUUAACCUGUUGUGGGGUAGUCGUAGGGAAACCGAGUCCUGGGGGCGUUUUAGUUGCGUGGCAUAGACCCGAAGCGGGGUGAUCUACCCAUGGCCAGGUUGAAGCGGCGGUAGAACGUCGUGGAGGACCGCACCCACCAGGGUUGAAAACCUGGGGGAUGAGUUGUGGGUAGGGGUGAAAGGCCAAUCAAACUCCGUGAUAGCUGGUUCUCCCCGAAAUGCAUUUAGGUGCAGCGUCACACUGGGCUUGGUGGAGGUAGAGCUACUGGUUGGUUGAUGGGCCGUGUUGGUUACUGACGUCAGCUAAACUCCGAAUGCCAUUUCAAGUGGGUGUGGCAGUGAGACUGCGGGGGAUAAGCUUCGUGGUCGAGAGGGAAACAGCCCAGAUCAUCGGCUAAGGCCCCUAAGCGUGCGCUGAGUGGGAAAGGAUGUGGAGUCGCGUUGACAGCCAGGAGGUUGGCUUAGAAGCAGCCAUCCUUGAAAGAGUGCGUAAUAGCUCACUGGUCGAGUGGUUGUGCGCCGAUAAUGUAGCGGGGCUUAAGCGUGCCGCCGAAGCCGUGGCAAUAACUUUUUGUUUUUGGGUAGGGGAGCGUCCUGCUCUGGGUGAAGCUGCCUGGUGAUGGGUGGUGGACGGGGUGGGAGUGAGAAUGCAGGCAUGAGUAGCGUUUCGUGGGUGAGAAUCCUACGCGCUGAUUGACUAAGGGUUCCAGGGGCAGGUUUGUCCGCCCUGGGUUAGUCGGGUCCUAAGGCGAGGCCGACAGGCGUAGUCGAUGGGUGACCAGUUGAUAUUCUGGUACCGUUUGUUUUCCGUCUGACGCUGCAUGCUUUCGCGUCGUGUGCUUGCCGUGCGUGGUGUUGUCUUUCGGGAUGAUGCUGUUGUGUGGCUGUGUGUGGUGUGGGGUGUGUGGUGAGCAUUGGGGUGACGCAGGGAGGUAGUUGCUGCACACUGGUGGUUAUGUGUGUCUAAGGUUGUGGCCUGUUUCUUGGGUGAAAUCCGGGAAGCUGCGUUUGAUCGCGUGGGUGAGGGCUGAUGGGGCUGCCUGUUGGGGUGGCUAGUGGUGAUCCUGUACUGCCGAGAAAAGCCUGGAUGUGAGGAAGAUGAGCGCCCGUACCCUAAACCGACUCUGGUGGUCAGGUAGAGUAUACCGAGGCGUGCGAGUGAAUCAUGGUUAAGGAAUUCGGCAAAUUGCCCCCGUAACUUUGGGAUAAGGGGGGCCCUGCUGGUGUGCCUGCUGUGCGUGGGUGGUGCUGGUUGGGGUCGCAGAGAAUUGGGAGAAGCGACUGUUUAUUAAAAACAUAGGUGUGUGCUAAGCCGUAAGGCGCUGUAUACGCACUGACGCCUGCCCGGUGCUGGAAGGUUAAGAGGACGACUUAACUGCUUUUUUGUGGUGAAGGUUUGAAUUUAAGCCCCAGUAAACGGCGGUGGUAACUAUAACCAUCCUAAGGUAGCGAAAUUCCUUGUCGGGUAAGUUCCGACCUGCACGAAUGGC
rnacentral:rRNA from 1 species